rfam:Lupinus angustifolius cultivar Tanjil chromosome LG02, whole genome shotgun sequence.
GAACCUCAGGUCAGGCGGGGCUACCCACUGAGUUUAAGCAUAUCAAUAAGCAGUGGAAAUUAAACUAACAAGGAUUCCCUUACUAACAGCGAGCGAACCGAGAAUAGCCCACCAUGAGAAUUGAUCGCCCUAGGUGUCUGAAUUGUAGUCUAGAGAAGAGUACUCAAUGGUGGAUCGGGCCCAAGUCCCCUAGAAGGGGGCGCCGAAGAGGGUGAGAGCCUCGUCUUGCCCGUACCUUAUCGCACCACAAUGCCCUAUCGACGAGUUGGGUUGUUUUGGAAUGCAACCCCAAUCCGGCGGUAAAUUUCAUCCAAGGCUAAAUACUGGCGAGAGACUGAUAGCAAACAAAUACUGCGAGGGAAAGAUGAAAAGGACUUUGAAAAGAGAGUCAAAGAGUGCUUGAAAUUGUCGGGAUAGAAGCAUAUGGGGGCUGGCGUUGUGCCUCGGUCGGAUGUGGAACGUCGAGAGUGGGUCUGCCAAUCGACUCGAGGCAUGGACUGACAUGAAUUGUGAUGGUUUCCCAAGCCCAUGUUGUUGACAUGCUCGUGGAGACGUCAUCAAUGUGAUUGUGGUUGGAAGCGUGCCAUUUGGUGUGCUUCGGUACGUACGUGCUCUGGGCGUCGGCUUGCAGGCUCCCCAUUCGGCCCGUCUUGAAACACGGACCAAGGAGUUUAACAUGUGUGCGAGUCAGCGGGCAAGUAAACUCGUAAGGCGCAAGGAAGCUGAUUGGUGGAAUCCUCUUGAUUGACCCUGAUCUUCUAUGAAGGGUUCAAGUAAGACCAUACCUAUCGGGACCCGAAAGAUGGUGAACUAUGUCUGAGCGGGGCGAAGCCAGAGGAAACUCUGGUGGAGGCCUGCACUGAUACUGACGUGCAAAUCGUUCUUCUGACUUAGGUAUCAGGGCAAAAGACUAAUCGAACUGUCUAGUAGUUGGUUCCCUUUGAAGUUUCCCUUAGGAUAGUUGGAGCUCGUAGGCGAGUUCUACCAGGUAAAGCCAAUGAUUAGAGCCAUCAGGGGUGCAAUUCCCUCAAUCUAUUCUCAAAAUUUAAAUAGGUAGGACAGCGUGGCUACUUUGUUGAGCCACACCACGGAAUCGAGCCUGGGUGGAGCGGUCAUCGGUGCAGAUUUUGGCGGUAGUAGCAAAUAUUCAAAUGAGAACUUUGAAGGCCGAAGAGGGGAAAUGUUCCAUGUGAACUGCACUUGCCCAUGAGUUAGUAGAUCCUAAGGGAUGGGGGAAGUCUGCCUGAUAGCGCUCUAAGCGCGCACUCCGAAUGGGAAUCAAGUUAAAAUUCCUAAAUUAGGACGUGGCGGCUAACACCAACGUUAUGGAGUUCAGAGACGUCGGUGGGGGCCCUAGAAAGCAUUAUCUUUUCUAUUUAUCAGCCUGCCCAGACUGGAAACAGCUCAGCCAGAGGUAGGGUCCAACAGCUGGAAGAGCACCACACAUCGUAUGGUGUCUGGUGCGCCCUCAACGGCCCUUGAAAAUCCGGAGGACCGAGUGCCUCCCACACCCGGUCGUACUCAUAACAGCAUCAGGUCUCCAAGGUGAACAACCUCUGGUCAAUUGAAAAAUGUAGGUAAGGGAAGUCGGAAAAAGUGAUCCGUAACCUCGAGAAAAGGAUUGGCUCUAAGGGCUGGCACGGGGGUCUAAGUCUCGAACCCGUCGGUGGUCGAUGGACUACUCGAGCUGCUCUUGCAGCAAGAGCGGGUUGCCGCGUGCUGAUCGGGGGACAGAUUGGGAACUGGCCCUUCGGGGUCUCUUCCCUGGGCGUCGAAUAGUCGAAUGUUGACGCAAUGUGAUUUCUGCCCAGUGCUCUGAAUGUCAAGGUGAAGAAAUUCAACCAAGCGCGGGUUAACGACAAGAGUAACUAUGACUCUCUUAAGGCAGCCAAAUGCCUCGUCAUCUAAUUAGUGAUGCAAAUGAAUGGAUUAACGUGAUUCCCACUGUCCCUGUGUACUAUCGAGCGAAACCACAACCAAGGGAACAGGCUUGGCGUAAUCAACGGGGAAAGAAGACCCUCUUUGCCUUGAUUCUAGUCCGACUUUGUGAAAUGACUUGAGAGGUGUAGGAUAAGUAGGAGUUGGAAACAUCGGAAGUGAAAUACCACUACUUUUAACGUUAUUUUACUUAUUCCGUGAAUCGGAGGCGGGGCGCACCCCUAUUUUGGACCCAAGGCUGGCCUCGGUCGGUCGAUCCGGGUGGAAGACAUUGUCAGGUGGGGAGUUUGGCUGGGGCAGCACAUCUGUUAAAAGAUAAAGCAGGUGUCCUAAGAUGAGCUUAACGAGAACAAAAAUUACGUGUGGAACAAAAGUGUAAAAGCUUAUUUGAUUCUAAUUUCCAGUACGAAUAUGAACCAUGAAAUCGUGGCCUAUCGAUCCUUUAGUCCUUCAAAAAUAUGAAGCUAGAGGUGUCAGAAGAGUUACCACAGGGAUAACUGGCUUGUGGUAGCCAAGCAUUCAUAGCGAUGUUGCUUUUUGAUCCUUCGAUGUCGGCUCUUCCUAUCAUUGUGAAGCAGAAUUCACCAAGUGUUGGAUUGUUCACCCACCAAUAGGGAACGUGAGCUGGGUUUAGACCGUCGUGAGACAGGUUAGUUUUAAUCAUGACAGUGUCACAAUAGUAAUUCAACCUAAUAUGAGAGGAAUCGUUGAUUCACACAAUUUGUCAUCGCGUUUGGUUGAAAUGCUAUUGGCGCGAAGCUACCAUGCGUUAGAUUAUGACUGAAGGCCUCUAAGUUAGAAUUCGGGCUAGAAGCAUUGUGUGUGUCCGUCGCCCGUUUGCCGACCAGUAGUAUGGGGCCUCGGCCCCCUAGAGGCACGUGCCGUUGGUGAGCCCUAUGGGGUGGAUGAGCCUCGCUGGACGCAUUGAAGCGCUAUUCCUAAUUGAGCGGCGGGUAGAAUCCUUUGGAAACGACUUAAAUACGCGACGAGGUAUUAUAAGUGGCAGAGUGGUCUUCCUACCAUGAUGCACUGAGAUUCAGCCCUUGCCGCUUCGAUUUAU